rnacentral:lncRNA from 1 species
UCUUAGGAGGUAACUUCAACGCCUCUAAGGAUGCGUUUGGUUCGCGCUAUCUUUUAAUGAUUCCUAGUAAUCCAAUAAAAAAUAAAAAAAUAUGACGGUGUUUUGCUAAACGCACUAAGUAAUCUAGUUGGUAAUAUUAGAUUCACUUGCAAAUAAAAUUCACCCCAAAGUACUAAUCUGAUUCCCUUGAGGAAGGGUGGGUAUCCUCAUAUUAAUAAAUUGGGAUAAUCAUAAUAUGUCUAAUUUCUUUCUCUCUUCUUAUCCGCCUGCUAAUUGAUAUUAUUUUUCUUUACACUCUAACCUUAUAUCUCUCUCUAAACUUAUUUUUNGUGUUUGGCUAAACGCAUUAAGUAAUCUAGUUGGUAAUAUUGGAUUCACUUGGAAAUAUGAUUCACCCCAAAGUACUAAUCUCAUUCCCUUAAGGGAUGGUGGGUAUUCUCGUAUUAACGGAUUGGGAUUAUCAUAAUAUGUCUAAUAUCUUUCUUUCUUCCUACCCGCCGGCUAAUUGAUAUUAUUUUUCUUUACAUUCUAACCUUAUAUCUCUCUCUAAACUUAUUUUCUCUCUAAAAUUCAACUUUUUUUCUCUCUCUAAACGAAGCUUUCUCUCUCUCUCUCUCUAAAAUUUCAACUCUCUCACUCCCUCUAAUUUCGACUAUAUUUUUCUUUCUAUUUUUUUAAUUAUACUCUCUCUCCCUUUUUUCUAAAAAGAUGUUGAAACUUUUGGUAAUAUUAUAUAAAAUUAAAUAAAUAAAUAAAUUAAUUUUAUAUUUUUUGUAAUAUUAAAUAACAUGGCUAAUUAAUAUUACCGUGCGAACCAAACACACAAAUUUCACAUUUUUAGUAAUAGGAUGAAUAGGAAUAAAAUUUUCGAAUAUCUUUUAUUCCUAGUAAUCUUUCAUAAUGCGAACCAAACACACCCUAAUAAUCAUGUCCCAUCUCCAGUUCCCUCUUCCCCAUCGAUCCUUAGCC